CUCAUGAUAUGUGGGGGAGGGACUAUUUCUGACGUCCACAGAGAGAACGAGGAGAAAAUUGACAACCAAUGAGGACUCGGCAAGCGACCGGAUAGGCGUUGUAAAACCUUCGUAUAAAAGCUUCCGGCAGCCGACCAUUGCUCAUGACUUAAUCUAUAGCUGUAGUGUUGUACUCUUUGUGUGAAGCGGGUUACUAAACAUAUUAAAUAAUGUGGGCGUCAUAUUUAGCUUUGGUGGUAGAGCAUGUAUUGUAUGUUAACUAUUUUGAUAAAUAUGGGUAAAUGGAUAGUAAUUUUAAAAUUAUGCUUGACAAAUGUGGACGACUGGCAGGUUGUGCGCGUGACACUCGUGAGCCUACUUAAACCCAGUCGACAAUUUGUCCGAGGAAAUCCGCGUCCGUCUGCGAAGUGCUGCUAGCCACGUUGCAGGAGCACAUGGCGGUCGGCAUGGCCCUCUGACCCAGUGUCCAUGCACUGGAGUCUCGACAAGCCUUCCAUGUUUCCGUCGAGAACGGUAAUCCGGCCCAUUUCCUCGCCACGUGGCCUGUUCCAGUUCCUGUAGAGGCUUUCAUUGAAAUAGCUUUUGAAAUGUUUUGACUGAAGAUGUAGAACUGUCUAAAUAAAAGUAAAUUUAUUGCA